rnacentral:rRNA from 1 species
CACGCAGGCGGUCUCUUUAGUCUGUAGGGACAGGGCACAGCUCAACUGUGUCAGGCUUACGGAAACUGGGAGACUUGAGGGCUUCAGAGGGAUGGGGAAUUCCGGGUGGAGUGGUGAAAUGCGUAGAGAUCCGGAAGAACACCAAAGGCGAAGGCACCAUCCUGGGGAGUCACUGACGCUCGGGUGCGAAAGCCAGGGGAGCGAACG